rnacentral:rRNA from 1 species
AUUGAACGCUGGCGGCAUGCCUUACACAUGCAAGUCGAACGGUAACGCGGGGCAACCUGGCGACGAGUGGCGAACGGGUGAGUAAUGCAUCGGAACGUGCCCAGUAGUGGGGGAUAGCCCGGCGAAAGCCGGAUUAAUACCGCAUACGACCUACGGGUGAAAGGGGAGGAUCGCAAGACCUCUCGCUAUUGGAGCGGCCGAUGUCAGAUUAGGUAGUUGGUGGGGUAAAGGCCCACCAAGCCUUCGAUCUGUAGCUGGUCUGAGAGGACGACCAGCCACACUGGGACUGAGACACGGCCCAGACUCCUACGGGAGGCAGCAGUGGGGAAUUUUGGACAAUGGGCGCAAGCCUGAUCCAGCCAUGCCGCGUGCGGGAAGAAGGCCUUCGGGUUGUAAACCGCUUUUGUCAGGGAAGAAACGCUCUGGGCUAAUACCUCGGGGUAAUGACGGUACCUGAAGAAUAAGCACCGGCUAACUACGUGCCAGCCGCCGCAGUAA